AUCGGAUCGGUGCAACAUCUCCCGGGUUUCUCCAUGUACAACGUGUGAUGGUGCUUUUCUCGUAGACGUUUCUCUGGACAGACAGUGAGAGAGAAGCCGUUGAUCCACUGAUGAUGUUGGUCUGUUUACAGAUUAUAGAAAAACCUGUGCUUGUGGAUCUACAUCGGAUGACCAUGGCAACCCAGGUGUGGAAAUAUUAGACUGUUUUUAAUCUGAAAUCUGUGUAAUCUAAGAUGGACAAUUCUUCUGACACCAUAUGAAUGCAUACUGUCGUCUGGCAGAAGCUAGAUCAUUUAGAUUAUAAAGUUAUAUGUUUUUACACAUGCAUCUAUUUGCUUCAGAAGGCCUUUAUUAAAGGAUUAGUUCACCUCAAAAUGAACAUUUCCUGAUCAUUAAAGGAAUAGUCUACUCAUUUUCAAUAUUAAACUAUGUUAUUACCUUAACUAAGAAUUGUUGAUACAUCCCUCUAUCAUCUGUGUGCGUGCACGUAAGCGCUGGA